rnacentral:rRNA from 1 species
CUACGGAGGGUGCAAGCGUUACUCGGAAUCACUGGGCGUAAAGCGCGCGCAGGCGGUCUUUUAAGUUGGAUGUGAAAGCCUACAGCUCAACUGUAGAACUGCAUCCAAAACUAUUAGACUAGAGUCUGGGAGGGGAAGAUGGAAUUAGUUGUGUAGGGGUAAAAUCCGUAGAGAUAACUAGGAAUACCAAAAGCGAAGGCGAUCUUCUGGAACAGUACUGACGCUGAGGCGCAAAAGCGUGGGGAGCAAACAGGAUUAGAUACCCUAGUAGUCC